rfam:Triticum aestivum genome assembly, contig: Triticum_aestivum_CS42_TGACv1_scaffold_049500_1BS
GUCAGGAUAGUUGAGUUGGUAGAGCAGAGGACUGAAAAUCCUCGUGUCACCAGUUCGAAUCUUGUUCCUGGCA